AAGGCAUAAUAUUCGACCUGGCUUCCAAAGUUUCUCACCUAGUUUCUGAAUUUUGGUGGAGUCUCAGCUGCUACAGCAGAGUACAAAAGUCUUGUAAAGCUCCUUGGGUACAUAAAACCAGCUGUGCAGCAGUUGUGGAAGUAGUGUGAUAGUUCACCUUGUGUACUUGCAGGACUGAUGCCUUGAAAAAAACAGCUGGGCGUGGAUAAUUAAAUCAGUUGCUGCUGUCAGAUCUACCUGUGCUAUUAGAUUUCAUAUACAGAUUUUAUUUUUCUCAGAAAACUACAUUAAUUGGAAUGAAAAAGUUGCAUUUCUGAUUGUAUAAGGAAAGAAAAGGAAGAUGUCACCAUGGUGGAAAAUCUUACCUGACUUUUCUUGGUGAAUAUGGUCUGAACUUGAAUUGAGCAAAUAUUAUUCAAGCUUGAAAACGUUUGCAGAGACCUAGAAAAUGUCAGUAGGUAGUGUGUUUGGCUUGCCACACCCUGGAAAAUAUUUGUGUGUAAACACAAUUCUGUGUGUAAACAAAGUUGGCUUCAACUGUGAUGAAAAGCAGAAAGAGGAAGCUCAGGUGAUGGGGAUUUGGACAGAUCCUUCCUACCUACACACCUCAGCAGGGAGCACAGGUUUGAGAGCCAUGGUGAGGAUAUCCUGCAAGGAGCAAAUUCCUGCAGUUCUUUC